UAUCAAUGGAGAGUUUGAUCCUGGCUCAGGAUGAACGCUGGCGGUAUGCUUAACACAUGCAAGUCGUACGGGAAAGAUUUCUAUUUUUCCUAGUGGCGGACGGGUGCGUAACACGUAAGAACCUACCUUUUGGAGGGGGAUAACAUCGGGAAACUGAUGCUAAUACCCCGUAAUAGCUGAGGAGUGAAAGCGGUUUUCCGCGCCAAGAGAGGGGCUUGCGGCUGAUUAGCUAGUUGGUGGGGGUAAAGGCCUCCCAAGGCCACGAUCAGUAGCUGGUUUGAGAGGACGAUCAGCCACACUGGGACUGAGACACGGCCCAGACUCCUACGGGAGGCAGCAGUGAGGAAUUUUCCACAAUGGGCGAAAGCCUGAUGGAGCAAUACCGCGUGGGGGAUGAAGGUUCGUGGAUCGUAAACCCCUUUUCUCAGAGAAGAAGAUCUGACGGUAUCUGAGGAAUAAGCUCCGGCUAACUCUGUGCCAGCAGCCGCGGUAAUACAGGGGGAGCAAGCGUUAUCCGGAAUGAUUGGGCGUAAAGCGUCUGUAGGUGGUUCUUUAAGUCUACUGUCAAAUACGUUGGCUCAACCAACGGCAGGCAGUGGAGUACUAAAGAACUAGAGUGCGGUAGAGGUAGAGGGAAUCCCUAGCGUAACAGUGAAAUGUGUAGAUUUUAGGGAGAACACCAGCGGCGAAGGCGCUCUACUGGGCCGAUACUGACACUGAGAGACGAAAGCUAGAGGAGCGAAUAGGAUUAGAUACCCUAGUAGUUCUAGCUGUAAACGAUGGAAACUAAGAGGGGGUAACCCCCUUCUGUAGCUAACGCGUUAAGUUUCCCGCCUGGGGAGUAUGCUCGCAAGAGUGAAACUCAAAGGAAUUGACGGGAGACCACACAAUAGGUGGAUUAUGCGGUUUAAUUUGAUGCAACGCAAAGAACCUUACCAGGGUUUGACAUGUCUAGAAUUUUUCAGAAAUGGAAAAGUGCUUCCUUUUUAUGAAAGGAAGAACUAGAACACAGGUGGUGCAUGGCUGUCGUCAGCUCGUGCGUUGACGUGUAUGGUUAAGUCCUGCAACGAGCGCAACCCUCGUCUUUAGUUACUUUCCAAGUUCUCUAAAGAGACUGCGCGCGCAAGCGCUGAGGAAGGUGAGGAUGACGUCAAGUCAGCAUGCCCCUUACACCCUGGGCGACACGCGUAAUACAAUGGUUGGGACAAUCAGAAGCUACCCCGCAAGGGCACGCCAAUCUGCUAAACUCAACCCUAGUUCGGAUUGUAGGCUGCAACUCGCCUACAUGAAGCCGGAAUCUAUAGUAAUCGCCAGUCAGCUAUAUGGCGGUGAAUACGUUCCUGG
rnacentral:rRNA from 1 species